rnacentral:rRNA from 1 species
UUAAGCGACUAAGCGUACACGGUGGAUGCCCUGGCAGUCAGAGGCGAUGAAGGACGUGCUAAUCUGCGAUAAGCGUCGGUGAGGUGAUAUGAACCGUUAUAACCGGCGAUUUCCGAAUGGGGAAACCCAGUGUGUUUCGACACACUAUCAUUAACUGAAUCCAUAGGUUAAUGAGGCGAACCGGGGGAACUGAAACAUCUAAGUACCCCGAGGAAAAGAAAUCAACCGAGAUUCCCCCAGUAGCGGCGAGCGAACGGGGAGGAGCCCAGAGCCUGAAUCAGUGUGUGUGUUAGUGGAAGCGUCUGGAAAGGCGCGCGAUACAGGGUGACAGCCCCGUACACAAAAAUGCACAUGCUGUGAGCUCGAUGAGUAGGGCGGGACACGUGGUAUCCUGUCUGAAUAUGGGGGGACCAUCCUCCAAGGCUAAAUACUCCUGACUGACCGAUAGUGAACCAGUACCGUGAGGGAAAGGCGAAAAGAACCCCGGCGAGGGGAGUGAAAAAGAACCUGAAACCGUGUACGUACAAGCAGUGGGAGCCUCUUUAUGGGGUGACUGCGUACCUUUUGUAUAAUGGGUCAGCGACUUAUAUUCUGUAGCAAGGUUAACCGAAUAGGGGAGCCGAAGGGAAACCGAGUCUUAACUGGGCGUUAAGUUGCAGGGUAUAGACCCGAAACCCGGUGAUCUAGCCAUGGGCAGGUUGAAGGUUGGGUAACACUAACUGGAGGACCGAACCGACUAAUGUUGAAAAAUUAGCGGAUGACUUGUGGCUGGGGGUGAAAGGCCAAUCAAACCGGGAGAUAGCUGGUUCUCCCCGAAAGCUAUUUAGGUAGCGCCUCGUGAAUUCAUCUCCGGGGGUAGAGCACUGUUUCGGCAAGGGGGUCAUCCCGACUUACCAACCCGAUGCAAACUGCGAAUACCGGAGAAUGUUAUCACGGGAGACACACGGCGGGUGCUAACGUCCGUCGUGAAGAGGGAAACAACCCAGACCGCCAGCUAAGGUCCCAAAGUCAUGGUUAAGUGGGAAACGAUGUGGGAAGGCCCAGACAGCCAGGAUGUUGGCUUAGAAGCAGCCAUCAUUUAAAGAAAGCGUAAUAGCUCACUGGUCGAGUCGGCCUGCGCGGAAGAUGUAACGGGGCUAAACCAUGCACCGAAGCUGCGGCAGCGACGCUUAUGCGUUGUUGGGUAGGGGAGCGUUCUGUAAGCCUGUGAAGGUGUGCUGUGAGGCAUGCUGGAGGUAUCAGAAGUGCGAAUGCUGACAUAAGUAACGAUAAAGCGGGUGAAAAGCCCGCUCGCCGGAAGACCAAGGGUUCCUGUCCAACGUUAAUCGGGGCAGGGUGAGUCGACCCCUAAGGCGAGGCCGAAAGGCGUAGUCGAUGGGAAACAGGUUAAUAUUCCUGUACUUGGUGUUACUGCGAAGGGGGGACGGAGAAGGCUAUGUUGGCCGGGCGACGGUUGUCCCGGUUUAAGCGUGUAGGCUGAUUUUCCAGGCAAAUCCGGAAAAUCAAGGCUGAGGCGUGAUGACGAGGCACUACGGUGCUGAAGCAACAAAUGCCCUGCUUCCAGGAAAAGCCUCUAAGCAUCAGGUAACAUCAAAUCGUACCCCAAACCGACACAGGUGGUCAGGUAGAGAAUACCAAGGCGCUUGAGAGAACUCGGGUGAAGGAACUAGGCAAAAUGGUGCCGUAACUUCGGGAGAAGGCACGCUGAUAUGUAGGUGAAGCGACUUGCUCGUGGAGCUGAAAUCAGUCGAAGAUACCAGCUGGCUGCAACUGUUUAUUAAAAACACAGCACUGUGCAAACACGAAAGUGGACGUAUACGGUGUGACGCCUGCCCGGUGCCGGAAGGUUAAUUGAUGGGGUUAGCGGCAACGCGAAGCUCUUGAUCGAAGCCCCGGUAAACGGCGGCCGUAACUAUAACGGUCCUAAGGUAGCGAAAUUCCUUGUCGGGUAAGUUCCGACCUGCACGAAUGGCGUAAUGAUGGCCAGGCUGUCUCCACCCGAGACUCAGUGAAAUUGAACUCGCUGUGAAGAUGCAGUGUACCCGCGGCAAGACGGAAAGACCCCGUGAACCUUUACUAUAGCUUGACACUGAACAUUGAGCCUUGAUGUGUAGGAUAGGUGGGAGGCUUUGAAGUGUGGACGCCAGUCUGCAUGGAGCCGACCUUGAAAUACCACCCUUUAAUGUUUGAUGUUCUAACGUGGGCCCGUAAUCCGGGUUGCGGACAGUGUCUGGUGGGUAGUUUGACUGGGGCGGUCUCCUCCUAAAGAGUAACGGAGGAGCACGAAGGUUGGCUAAUCCUGGUCGGACAUCAGGAGGUUAGUGCAAUGGCAUAAGCCAGCUUGACUGCGAGCGUGACGGCGCGAGCAGGUGCGAAAGCAGGUCAUAGUGAUCCGGUGGUUCUGAAUGGAAGGGCCAUCGCUCAACGGAUAAAAGGUACUCCGGGGAUAACAGGCUGAUACCGCCCAAGAGUUCAUAUCGACGGCGGUGUUUGGCACCUCGAUGUCGGCUCAUCACAUCCUGGGGCUGAAGUAGGUCCCAAGGGUAUGGCUGUUCGCCAUUUAAAGUGGUACGCGAGCUGGGUUUAGAACGUCGUGAGACAGUUCGGUCCCUAUCUGCCGUGGGCGCUGGAGAACUGAGGGGGGCUGCUCCUAGUACGAGAGGACCGGAGUGGACGCAUCACUGGUGUUCGGGUUGUCAUGCCAAUGGCACUGCCCGGUAGCUAAAUGCGGAAGAGAUAAGUGCUGAAAGCAUCUAAGCACGAAACUUGCCCCGAGAUGAGUUCUCCCUGACUCCUUGAGAGUCCUGAAGGAACGUUGAAGACGACGACGUUGAUAGGCCGGGUGUGUAAGCGCAGCGAUGCGUUGAGCUAACCGGUACUAAUGAACCGUGAGGCUUAACCUU